rnacentral:pre_miRNA from 1 species
CUCGCUGUGCUAAAGUGCUUACAGUGCAGGUAGUUCCUCUGUUCAGCCUACCGCAGUGUGAGCACUUCUUGCACAGCAGG